CUCUCUCUUCUCUCUACCCACUUACAAAUCACUACCCUCUCUCUCAUCAAUUCAACCGAGCCGGGAGGAAGAACUCGACGACUCUCUGCUUCCAGAUCUGGGUAAUCAUUCCAAGAAUCUGGGUUUAUGGUAUUUUCUCGAUGACUUUGACAAUCACCGCCUCCUAAAACUCACCGACUUAUGAAGUUUUCGAUUUCCACAAGGAUUGUACCGCGAAUUUGACCGUUCAGAUCAAUACGGUAAGUUUAUCUAGCCGUUUAUAUCCCCUCUAAUUGUCUAUAAAUUGGAUCGCCUAGCCUUGUUCAUCAAUCAUUAGGAAGCCGGUGGUCCGGGUUGGUAUUAUUUUUCGGUGUUGCUUUUGUUAUUGGUGGUCGUGUGUCAUUGAUUUCAAUUAUUGGAUUGAGCAUAGGAAAUUCGAUGGUACAUAUACAAGAUGUAAGAAGGCCAAGCAAGCACAUGGUGGGGAAAGCCAACAACUUGACAGCAGGGCUCAAUAGGAGUCUCUAGAAGGAUGCUGAGUCAGUAAAAUUGUUAGGGACUAUUAGUUAGUUUGUUAGAGUUACUUGGGGGAAGGGUAUAAAUAAAACAUGUAAGGAGAGGGGAGGGGAUGUGAAAGAAAUCAAGUAAGAAUUAGGGGAAUGGAGAAUCGUAAUUUCCAUUAAGUUCUCAUUUACAGUACUUAUUUCAUUUUGAAUCUAUAUUACAGAAAAUUUCCCCAAAAUUCCUCAUUCUCAGUAUUCUCUUCUCUAUUGCAGUGAGCCUUAAUAUUGUCUAUCUGGGAAAGAUUUCUAUCCGCUGCUUAAUUUCAAAACUUCACUCUAUCUUACUCCCAGUAUGGUGAAUAAACUAUUGUUGGUCCCUAGUGAAUUUGAUUCUUGAAGUGCACAGACUCCUAAGUGGAGAUUUAGUCCACUAUCAGAUUUUCACAACUACUCAAUAUUUGAUAAGUAUUCAUUUGUGUUUUGAAUGUGGAAUUUUCUUUAAAGGAGAUGAUAACUAAUUAGCAGUCUACCUUUAUAUCUAGUAUGAAAGUAUCUUUUUGUGCUGUGAUGGUUGAUUUUUAAAUGAAGUGGUUCAUCAUGGUAUUGGAGUAAGCAAAUUCCUUGGGAUCAAGUUUUGCUAUCACUAUUUAUUGAACUUGUGCACAUACGAGGCUUUUGACAAAAAAUGAAUUCAUUUUGUGUGAGUGAGGGCAUGUUCAAGACUAGAUUUAAGUGAAUAAACGUGUCACUCUUUAACGACGUUGACAUAUUUUAAGGCAGAUUGUAUCAUUUCUAGUUUAUAAUCAUCUCACUGUAUUGAAGACAGUUAUUUUAUUGCUUAGAGUUUAUUGUACCAAAUAUUAAUCUUUGAUUAGAGAGAUAGUUGAAGAUUUAGAAGUAGCUUAACAAUUUAUGUCCUUGGGUUUAUGUUCUUGAUUCUAUUAAUUGGGG
rnacentral:lncRNA from 1 species